rfam:Daphnia magna strain Xinb3 scaffold03276, whole genome shotgun sequence.
GCCCUUGUGGCCUAAUGGAUAAGGCGCCAGCCUCCUAAGUUGGAGAUUGCGAGUUCGAGUCUCGCCAAGGGUA